AUACUACUAUGAGUGUGUUUUGUUUGUGGUCCGGAAGCCACAAUAAUGGUCUUAAGUGCUAUUACCCAGAAAAACAUUUAAUAAGAGUAAAUGAUGAAAUAAACAACUCAGAGUCAACUAUCGGUGACAACAGGACACAACCUCAAAUCAGUGGUGCCUUCUUAUUCCUAACAAAAUUUAGAAAUAGUGUCUAUUUUCUUAAUGAUGUCUAUUGCUUUUUUCAGAAAUAUACUAUGCCGUGCAAAUUUAUACCACACAAGUAAAAAAAAAAAAAAAAAUGAAGACAUUAUCUCCCAUGCAGAUAUCUAAUGGAGGAACUAUCUUCAAGUACUUUUUUCUUUGAAGCCCUGAAUUGUCUUUAAGAAAAUAAACAUAAACUCCAGGUUUCAUGAAGCUAUUGCGAGUCUGCAAUAGAAUUUGAAACUAUUCUUUCAUCAUUCAAAAUAGUUUUAUUUUAUUUUUUAGCUCAGCCGCAUUUAGAGAACAUCAAACAUGUCAUGUAUGAAAUGCUAAAUCAGUUGUAUCACAGGUUAAAACUCAUGAACUACAGUAACAGAGAAAGUCUUUGUCCAUGUUAAACUGAAUCUUAUAUCAAUCACUGGAUCCCUUUGAAAUGUAUGUAAAUAUAAAUAUUUGGAGGUCCAAAAGCUUCUUUUAUAAAGCAGUGUUAAGAAACUGGAAAAAUAAGAAUA
rnacentral:lncRNA from 1 species